GACGAACGCUGGCGGCGUGCUUAACACAUGCAAGUCGAACGGUAAGGCCCUUCGGGGUACACGAGUGGCGAACGGGUGAGUAACACGUGGGUGAUCUGCCCUGCACUUCGGGAUAAGCCUGGGAAACUGGGUCUAAUACCGGAUAGGACCCUGGGAUGCAUGUCCUGGGGUGGAAAGCUUUUGCGGUGUGGGAUGGGCCCGCGGCCUAUCAGCUGGUUGGUGGGGUGAUGGCCUACCAAGGCGACGACGGGUAGCCGGCCGGAGAGGGUGACCGGCCACACGGGUACUGAGACACGGCCCAGACUCCUACGGGAGGCAACAGUGGGGAAUCUUGCACAAUGGGGGCAACCCUGAUGAAGCCAUGCCGCGUGAACGAUGACGGUCUUCGGAUUGGAAAGUUCUUUUGGCGGGGACGACGAUGACGAUACCCGCAGAAUAAGUCACGGCUAACUUCGUGCCAGCAGCCGCCGUAA
rnacentral:rRNA from 1 species